AUUGAACGCUGGCGGCAGGCCUAACACAUGCAAGUCGAACGAGUGGCGGACGGGUGAGUAAUGUCUGGGAAACUGCCCGAUGGAGUGGGAUAACUACUGGAAACGGUAGCUAAUACCGCAUACCAUCGGAUGUGCCCAGAUGGGCUUAGCUAGUAGGUGGGGUAACGGCUCACAUAGUCGACGAUCCCUAGCUGAUCUGAGAGGAUGACCAGCCACACUGGAACCGAGCCACGUUCCAGACUCCUACGGGAGGCAGCAGUGGGGAAUAUUGCACAAUGGGCGCAAGCCUGAUGCAGCCAUGCCGCGUGUAUGAAGAAGGCCUUCGGGUUGUAAAGUACUUUCAGCGAGGAGGCGUUACUCGCAGAAGAAGCACCGGCUAACGCCGUGCCAGCAGCCGCGGUAAUAC
rnacentral:rRNA from 1 species